rnacentral:rRNA from 1 species
UACGUAGGGGGCAAGCGUUGUCCGGAUUUAUUGGGCGUAAAGAGCGUGUAGGCGGCCAUACAGGUCAGCUGUGAAAACUCGAGGCUCAACCUCGAGACGCCGAUGGAAACCAUCUGACUAGAGUCCGGAAGAGGAGAGUGGAAUUCCUGGUGUAGCGGUGAAAUGCGCAGAUAUCAGGAAGAACACCCGUGGCGAAGGCGGCUCUCUGGGACGGUACUGACGCUGAGACGCGAAAGCGUGGGGAGCGAACAGG